ACUUUAAUUGAAGAGUUUGAUCAUGGCUCAGAUUGAACGCUGGCGGCAGGCCUAACACAUGCAAGUCGAGCGGCAGCGGGAAGAUAGCUUGCUAUC
rnacentral:rRNA from 1 species